rnacentral:rRNA from 1 species
UUCCCGGGCCUUGUACACACCGCCCGUCACACCACGAAAGUUGGCAAUACCCGAAGCCGGUGGCCUAACCCGCAGGGGAGGGAGCCGUCGAAGGUAGGGUCGAUGAUUGGGGUG